rnacentral:rRNA from 1 species
UACGUAUGGGGCGAGCGUUGUCCGGAAUCAUUGGGCGUAAAGGGUCCGUAGGCGGUUAGAAAAGUUAGAAGUGAAAGGCUAUAGCUCAACUAUAGUAAGCUUUUGAAACUGUUUAACUUGAGAGAUGGAAGGGAAAGUGGAAUUCCUAGUGUAGCGGUGAAAUGCGCAGAUAUUAGGAGGAAUACCAGUGGCGAAGGCGACUUUCUGGCCGUUUUCUGACGCUGAGGUACGAAAGCGUGGGUAGCAAACAGG